rnacentral:rRNA from 1 species
UACGAAGGGGGCGAGCGUUGUUCGGAUUUACUGGGCGUAAAGCGUGCGCAGGCGGCUUUGCAAGACAGAUGUGAAAUCCCCGGGCUUAACCUGGGAACUGCAUUUGUGACUGCAUGGCUGGAGUGCGGCAGAGGGGGAUGGAAUUCCGCGUGUAGCAGUGAAAUGCGUAGAUAUGCGGAGGAACACCGAUGGCGAAGGCAAUCCCCUGGGCCUGCACUGACGCUCAUGCACGAAAGCGUGGGGAGCAAACAGG